GCUGUUACUCAGGAGUGAUCUGAGUUGAAGCAGCGUCCUGAGAUGGGCUCCUUGGCUCUGAGUCACCACUGAGCAGCCCACUCUUGACACCUGUCUUCAGUUCUCUACUAAGCCCUCUUCAGGCAAAAAGGAAAUGCUUACGUGAUGGUUCCAGUAUACAGACACCUGCCUCCUACUUUAACUGGGAAGUAUUUCUGACUGACAAGAUGCCCAGUGAUCAUGUCCUGAAGGAUCAAAGGACAUUGGUGUUCCUAAACCAAUGGUUCCACUUUUGGAGCAUAAGAAUUCAUAAAACACCUUGGUUCCUUUACUCUUUGUGCCAAACAACUGUCUGCCCCAGAACUUCUGCCUGAAAGACAGCACAACACUUAAAGAGCAGAGCAAUGUGUGUAGUCUGAGAAAGUGGAAAAACUGCAUCAGUCUAUGGCCUGGAAUGUGAGGAGAAGUAGCUCUGUAUGUUCAGCAUUGCUGUUCCUCAGGUAAUGAGCUGGGAGAUGGCUGAUUCAAACACCUCUGCUACUUAAGAUGAAAGAUCUUCUUUCUGAGUUCUCCCACAUGACAAUCUGAAAAGCUGGGAUACACCUAUAUUAAUUAAUCCCUGUAUUAAUUAAUCCCUAAUCAAGAAAAAUUAGGGGAGUAAAUACUGGAGCCCACGACCAUGCAAUGUUUCUGUUGAUCCCUAUUUUUGAAGAACUGUUUUUGCUAGGGUACCCAAACACUGUGACAGUUAAUUGUGUUUAUUUGCAAGUCAGUUUUGCCAGUAUAUUUUCCUGUGUUACAAAAGCAGCUGAGUACAUAAUUGUGAAUGUUAAAAUGUAAUUAAUAUCUGGGUGGUUUGGUUUGGUUUGGUGUUUUGUUUUAAUUUGUUUUGGUUUUGACAUAAACAGAUUGUGAAAAACUCCAAACCAAACAAGAGAACUGAUAGUAGACAAUUUCUUCUAAAGAUUAAUUGAGUCUGUAAGUCAUCACAGAACAAUUUGGUACCUGGCAACAGAGUGGUAAGGCCGAAGGGCUGAUUCUUCAAUUGCAUGGCCAAAGUGAAAAAUGGAAAACAAUUUCACUUUGAAUCAGCUCAAACCAAAACAUGAACUGAAUUGAAAAAUACAGAUUGCACCACACAGAACAUUGUAUUUGGUACAAACCAUCUUUGCCAUGAUGCAGAAUUUAGGACAUUCACAAACUAAUAAUGGUAAUUAAGCUUAGCUGUCUAAAGCUUAUAAUAUCACUGAGGUAGUAUUGCCAGAGGCUGCUGAAUGAUUGCACUGCAGCAGAUUUAACAUCAGAGUUGGGGAAUCACCUCAUUGCUCACCACAAUGCCUUCAGUGAGCACUUAGUCCUGUGUCAGCCUCGAGAUUUUAUUUCUCUGAUGCCCACUGAUACAUUUAUGUGUCUGGGCUAAGUGUUGCACCACAUACAAAGAUUUAUAUGAUUAAUAAAAGCUUUCU